GAUGAACGCUGGCGGCGUGCUUAACACAUGCAAGUCGAACGGUGAAGGCGGAGCUUGCUCUGCUGGAUCAGUGGCGAACGGGUGAGUAACACGUGAGCAAUCUGCCCCUGACUCUGGGAUAAGCGCUGGAAACGGCGUCUAAUACUGGAUACGAGCUGCGAAGGCAUCUUCAGCAGCUGGAAAGAAUUUCGGUCAGGGAUGAGCUCGCGGCCUAUCAGCUUGUUGGUGAGGUAAUGGCUCACCAAGGCGUCGACGGGUAGCCGGCCUGAGAGGGUGACCGGCCACACUGGGACUGAGACACGGCCCAGACUCCUACGGGAGGCAGCAGUGGGGAAUAUUGCACAAUGGGCGAAAGCCUGAUGCAGCAACGCCGCGUGAGGGACGACGGCCUUCGGGUUGUAAACCUCUUUUAGCAGGGAAGAAGCGAAAGUGACGGUACCUGCAGGAAAAGCGCCGGCUAACUACGUG
rnacentral:rRNA from 1 species